rnacentral:lncRNA from 1 species
CUUUUGCUAUUUGUACACGAUCCCGUUUAAGUGGUUCAACAACUAGUUCUUUACUUUCCAAGAUGCCACAUGACUGUGUUCCUUUUAUGGAAUAUGACCUUGCUCAGAACCCAAGUAAUCGGGACUUGGCAAUUCCUCUGGUAUCUACUCAUGUUCCUUACACUUGUUUACCUAAAUCUAUCAUUUCUUCUUGUUGCAAGAUUAUUUACAUUUGCAGGGACGCAAAGGAUGUUUUUGUUUCUUUGUGGUACUUUCUUGCCAGGCUGCAAAUGUCUGAAAAUGUUGAGCCUCUUCUUCUGGAAGAGGCUUUUGAGUUGUUUUGCAAUGGAAUUGCAAAUUUUGGACCCUACUGGAACCAUGUUUUAGGGUACUGGAGAGCAAGCUUGGAGUUCCCCGAGAAGAUACUGUUCUUGACAUAUGAGGAAAUGAAGAAAGACACCGCUGCUCAUGUUAAGAAAUUAGCUGAGUUCAUGGGUUGUUCUUUCACCCUAGAGGAAGAGGAGGAAGGGGAGGUGCAAAAGAUAAUAGGCAUGUGUAGUUUUGAGAAGUUGAGCAACUUGGAGGUGAAUAAAAAUGGGAAGUGCCUUCUAGACAUAUCAAUUCCUAUUCCAAAUAGUAUAUACUUCAGGAAAGGUGAGAUAGGCGACUGGGCAAAUCACUUGACACCUGAAAUGGGAGCACGUCUAGAUGACAUAAUGGAGCGGAAGCUCAAGGGUUCAGGCUUGAAGCUGCCCAGGUGACUGCGCCUGGGUCCCAUUUGCUUCUGAUUAUUGCCGAAGUGGGUUCAUCAAAAGCUGUUAUCAACAUCUCGUGAAACAGCAACUGUGUAUCCCAAUAAAUACCCUCUCUGUUCAUCUCUUGUAUUUCCUAGCAAGUAUUCACAUUUUGUGAAUAAUCCAUGUGAAUAAGCAAUGUUCUUUUGUGAAUCUGUGUUUGUAACUUUCAUUGAUUUCCUUGCAAGUUUGUAAGAAUUAAAAAUGGGAUUCGUUUUUUAUUUAUUUAUUUAACACAAGUGCAUGCAUUCCAUUAAUCAGUGAUAAAAAAAAAAAAAUUACUCUACUAUAUAAUAUUAGAGUGUUUUCUUCACAGAAAUUGCAGUGUGUUUUCUUCCCACUGCAAUACAUGUUUUAAAAGAACCGAGACAACCAUACAUGAGGGCGGAGCAAAUACCAACCGAGACAACCAUCCAUUAAGAUUGUUGAAUUGAAGAUCAAAUGAACAUAGGCGGCACAUCUGCUGAAAGGAUCUCGAAAUGCCUUGUAAUUGGUUAAAAUAAAGAUCAAGAUCUGUAGGAGAACUCGUGUUUUCCACUCCUAAAAUAAGCCCAGUUGCCGGCUUCAUGUGCAACAGAGGCACAUAGAGAAUCUGAAAGCAGUUUUUAUGCACUAUCAGCAGAAUAAUUUGAUCAGUCAGAAUGAUCCCCCCCCCACUAGGCUCAGAUCACAAUUCUUCUUACUUCAAACAAAUCUUUUGGAACCGAUAUGUGGAGGGAUGGCUUGAUUUAUACCGGAGAUUUUGUUGGAAAAUUAAAGAAGCAUGGCUUAAUUUGUACCUUGGAUGCGCAAAUUGAUUACAGGGAAAAAAAUGACAGAAAGUGAGUUGCAGGGAAUGAAAAAGGCAUUAGUAAACUCAACAGCUUGCAGGGCAUCGUUCCUUGGUUUACUCCGUUUUAUUUCUUAUUUUGUUUUUCCUGCCAUUGUCUUAUGUUUGUCUAACUCGCAGUCUGGUCUCUGCAGAGAAUGAGAAAGCACAGACUCUUUAAGAGAAGAUAUUCUCCGGCAAUGGCAUCAAACAGAAAAGUCCGACGUUAACUAAAUGAGUUCAUGGGUCUCUUGUCUGAAUAUAGAAGUGCAGAAACUAAGCUUGACCAAAAACCCCCAUGCUACCAACUACAACUCAACAAGCAACAAAUCAAAUGAAUUGUGAUCCGCCAGUAAACAGCGAAUGGACACUGCCCCAGCAAUAGAUCAUACAAGCUCUGACCAACCGGUCAAAGAUCACGAGGACCCUACCCACUGCCCACUGACUGACAAUUCAUCAAAUAGAUUUAUUGCCGUUCACCACCUUAUUUAGAUGUAUUUUUAAAUAAUAUCCGUGAACUCAAAAAAAAAUCACUCAAAUAUCUCCCUAGAAAACUGACCUUGAACUCUUAACUAGGAGAAAAACAAAGAGGAAAAAUAGAGCUUAUAACAUAGGAAACUACGCUGAAAACUGAGGUGAAAAAAAGUGUAAGAAAUUCUGUAAAAAUGUCCAGAAACACUUUUUAUCACUUUUUACAGAGGAUUUUGAAACCUAAACCAAUGUAGAUUUACUUUUAGUAAUUAUUAAAAAUUAAUUUUUAUCAUUAUCAAUCUUAAUUAUCCGUUAUAAAUUAAAAUUAACCUUAACCCUUUUAGCUUUAAAUAUAAUGCUUUGUUAGAAUUAUAAAAACCAUUCAAAUUGAAAAAAAUUGCUUAGGCUGAAAAAAGUGUUCAGACUCUAUAUUCAUUGACAGUACAAACUGAUGGAUUAGAAAGAAAAAAAAUAUAUAGGCCAAAAAAUUAUAAAUCCAAACCCAAGUUUAAAAUAUAUUGAUAAAAAUUAAUUAUUUAUAGUUUACAAUAAAAUCAGACUUGGGACAAGCAAGCCAAUUAAGCAUGGGACUUCAACUCAAAGUUUACUUUACUUAGGUUUUUUUUUUUAAUCUGAGUGUAUUUUAAUCCAAUUUUAAUUCUUUAUAUUUUUAAUAUAUAAUUAACAAUAAAAAUGUUGUUUUUUUUACGUGAAAUAAAGGUUUUGAAUUUCACAAAGAUAUAUUCAUCAACAAAAUUAAAUUUUUAUUUAUUUAUAAUUUAUUUUAAUUAUUUUAAUAUUUUAUGUUAAAGAGAUUUGGUUGGAGAAUAAGUUUCAAUAAAAUUUAAAUCCGAAAAAUAAGUAGAUUUUAUUUUUAAUUUUAUUUCAAAUAUAUUUAUUUUUUAUGUUUUAAAACAAAUUUUAUCUCAUCUAUGUAUGUAUAAAUAUAUAAUCACAAUUCUCAAUACAGCACUUAUAGUUAGUUAUCGAACGAAAGAAUGUUAUCUCUUUCAGUAUGCCACAGAUAUUCAAAACACGGCGGUCACCCUUAUUAGCUUGCAGUCGUCUAUCGAAGUAUUAUCGCCAAAUCCACAGAAGCAAGGCAAACCACAGUUUUCUCUAGUUAUAGGACUAGACGGUACUGCGCUAGACUGCAGGUUUACAAUAUUUUUUCGAUAAAAUAUUUAAAUCAUGAGAAAAUCAUGCAUGAUUAAAAGAGUAAAAUUCAAAUUAAAAAUAUCAAUACAUGACAAAAUAAAAUUAAAAAAAAUUAAAUAAAAUUUUUAUAAAAAAACUAGAAUAAAAGAGAGGACUGAAACCGAAAAAGUUUAAACAAAAAGGACAUACCUGCAAUUUGAGGGGGGGAGGGAGGAGGAGAAAAAAAAAGGUUCAUCAACAACGAACUGCUCGACCUUCACCUACAUGUAUCGCACCAUGAGAAAGAGGAAGCAGUGAUGCUUCCAACAACACAAUAAAAUGUUUAUUUUUACAACUAGAGGUAUUGCAUGCUAUACUUGAAGUGCUAGCUUUUUAAAUUUUAAUAUUAUUUAUUUUUUUGUUAAAAGAUUACAAUGCGCAAACUAAAAAGAAAAACAAUAUAAAAAGAUAAAGUAUAACCUUGACCUAAAGCUUUUCUUUUUCUUUUUACUUCAAGGAUAUUUAAGUAAGUUUAGUGUACAUUCAAAAGCAUUUAAUGAAAUACCCUUCGACCAAGGUUUUUUUUUUUUUUAAAGUAUAAGACACUUAACAAAAUAAUAAAUAACAAAAAUUAAAAACUUAAAAAGACAAAAAAUACCCUUCGACCAAGGUUUUUUUUUUUUACUCCAAAGCAUUUAAUGAAUCUCGCCCAUAACGACAGCAAGUCUUUAAAAAGUGGAUUUCCUGAUGAAACCUGGAUAGUAUCAGUGCCAGCUCGAGCUCAGAAUGCGGCAUCUAUUGAUUAACUUACCAGUUACCAACACAAGGAGACACACACAACAACUUUAAAAAGGGCAUUAUAUAGCUAAACAUUGAUUAUUAUUUUUAUUUCAUUUUUAAUAUUAUAUUAAUUUUAAAUAUAUAUAUUUUUAAUUUCUCCAUUCAAUAACAAGUUGAAAUUCAUAAUUUUAUUUAAUUCAUUUCUUAUAAUAAUUUUUUUCCCAUCGUUUAAUUAAAUAAAAUAUUUAUUAUAAAAAAUAAAAUUAUUAAACAUAAUUGAGUAUAUGGCUUGUAUUUUUAGGUUAAAUAUUGUAAUUAGAUGUGGGUAUAAGCAUUUUAAUUUAUAAUUAAAAAGAAAAACUAUAUCCAAAAAAGAAUUUAAAAAACCUGUAUAUUUAUUUUUCAAUUAUCUAACCUGCAGCAGUGAAGUGCAAUUGAAAUAGCUAGUAAUCUAACUAAAAAAUUUAAGAUAAGAUUAAGAAAUGAGAAGUUUAUUUGUCAGCAGACAGUAGCUUCAGUAAAUAGAAAAUAUAGACUGUACUGCUGCUGAUCCCGGGAUCAAUGCCCACCUUCAUGGAUUAUAUAUAUAUAUAUAUAUAUAUAUAUAUUCAAUGUGAGAUAUUAAGUCAUUUAGUACAUACUAGUUAGAUGACUUGUGCGGUGCUGCGAGUUAAUUUUUUUUGCAUAAAAAUAUAUAAAAAAACUAAAAUCUAAAAGUAUUAGGUCUUUUUGCAAAGUUAUACCCAAGAAUCUUGGGUUUGGCUGCAACGCCUGACCCAAGAGUAAUAUUUAUAAUAUUAAUUAUAACAUUAAACUUGCAUGACUCAAGUUUAAAUGAGUCUAGAUGCAAUACCAUACCCAAUAGUCUUGGAUGUGGGUCUGGCUGCAAGGUCGUGUAAUAAAAGUGUGAUAAUUAAAUAGAUUAAUUAAAAAUAAAAAAAACAAAGAAAAAAACAAACAUGAAGAAAAAAACUAAUGAAGAAAAAGAAAAAAAAUUUGAAUUAACUGGGUUAACCCUUCAAACCAGGUUAAUCCGUCAAACCUUGGAUUCGUGUCGUGAAAGUUUGAUAACUAAAUAAAAAAAAAAUGAACAUUAACAAACUAAAUUAAAUGAAAAAAAUAAUUAAAAAAAAAAGCAUCAGCCUUUUCACUGUGGACUGCACUGUGCAGUCCACAGUCAAAUGCAUAAAAACAACAAAAAAGCAAAAAGAAAAACUAAAGGCAUCAAUCGAUAACUAAAUAGAAAAAAAAUUUAAUAUUGAUGAACUAAAUUAAAUAAAAAAAAUUAAAUAAAAAGAAGAAAAAACUUAUAAGAAGAAAAAAACUAAUGAAGAAAAAGAAAAAAAAUCUAAAUUAACUGGGUUAACCCGUCAAACCUGAGAUCCGUGUCAUGAAAGUCUGACAACUAAAUAAAAAAAAUUUAAUAUCAAUAAACUAAAUAAAAAAAUUAAUUUAAAAAAAAGGCAUCAGCCUUUUCACCGUGGAUUGCACUGUGCAGUCCAUAGUGAAAGGCAUGAAAAUAAAAAAAACAAAAAAAAACUAAAGGCAUCAGCCUUUUCACUGUGGACUGCAUAGAAUAUUAAAAGAUGAAAUCGGAAGAACAAAACUAAUGAGGAAAAAGAAAAAAAAAAUCUGAAUCAACUAGGUUAAUCCGUCAAAUCAAGUUAACCCGUCAAACUUGAAAGUGUGAUAACUAAAUAGAAAAAAGAUUUAAUAUUAAUGAAAUAAAUUAAAAAAAGAUUAAUUAAAAAGGAAAAAAGCAAAGAGAAAAAAGACCAACAGGAAGAAAAAAACCUAAUGAAGAAAAAGGAAAAAAAUCUGAAUUAAGUGGGUUAACUGGUCAAACCUGGGAUUCGUGUCAUGAAAAUCUGAUAAUUAAACAGAAAAAAUUUAAUAUUAAGAAACUAAAUUAAAAAAAGACUAAUUAAAAAAAGACAAAAAAAAACUAAAGGCAUCAGCUUUUUCACUCUUAAAAAGGAAAAGAGAGAAAAAUAAAAACAAAAGCAAACGCCACGGGUUAAUUUUUUUUUUCUUGCAUAAAAAAUAUUAAAAAAAACUAAGAUCUAAGAGUAUUAGGUCUUUCUGCAAAGAUAUGCCCAAGAGCCUUUGGUUUAGUUGCAACGCUUGACCCAAGAGUAAUAUUUAUAAUAAUAAUAAUAAUAAUAAACUUACAUGACUCAAGUUUAAGUGAGUCUGGCUGCAAGGUCGUGUCAUAAAAGUGUGAUGAUUAAAUAUAUUAAUUAAAAAGAAAAAAACCAACAUGAAGAAAAAAACUAAUGAAGAAAAAGAAAAAAAUAUGAAUUAACUGGAUUAACCCUUCAAACCAGGUUAACCCGUCAAACCUGAGAUUCAUGUUAUGAAAGUUUGAUAACUAAAUAGAAAACAAAAUUGACGGGUUAACCUGUCAAGCCUGGGAUACGUGUCAUGAAAGUCUGAUAAUUAAAUAGAAAGAAAUUUAACAUUAACAAAAUAAACUAAACGAAAAAAAAUUAAUUUAAAAGAAAAAAAGUAAAAAAAAAAUUCUAGGUUAACUCAUCAAACCAAAUUAACCCAUCAAAUCCGGGAUCCGUGUCAUGAAAGUCUGAUAACUAAAUAAAAAAAAUAACAUUAACAAACUAAAUUAAACAAAAAAAAUUCAUAAAAGAAAAAAAAACACAGAAAAAAAACAAAAAAAACAUAAAGGCAAAAAAAACAAAAACAAAAUUAAGUGAGAAUUACUGAUGUGCUUUGCCAAGCUUUGCAACAGAAAUCUCAAGACAUUUUAAAUGCUAUGCAUUUGCUGACUACCAUAAAGACUUUAAUUCAGAAGUUAAGAGAUGAUGGAUUGGAAACUCUUUUAGAACAAGUGACAUCAUUUUGUAAGCAUAAAAACAUUGAAGUUCCUGAUAUGGAUGCUUGUUUUUCUAGUGUGGGACGAUCUCGCUGUAAAACAAAAUCAAUAACAGUUGAGCAUCACUAUCGAGUUGAUAUAUUUAUAGCUAUCAUUGAUCAAUAGUUGCAAGAGCUAAAUAAUAGAUUCUAUGAGCAGGCGAUCGAGCUUCUUAAGUUGAGCAUAGCUUUAGAUCCUAAAAAUAACUAUAAAUUAUUCAGUGUUGAAGAUAUAUGCUAACUUGUUGACAAGUUCUAUCCUGAAGACUUUUCUGACCAAGAAAAAACUCAUUUGAGAUUUCAGUUGCAGCAUUAUGAGCUUGAUGUACCCAAUCAUCCAAAGUUAAAGAAUAUGUCAUCGAUUGCUGAUUUAUGUCAAGGACUGGUUGAAAUAGAAAAAUCAACAAUUUAUCUACUCAUUGAUAAGUUGAUUCGACUUAUUUUGACUCUUCCUGUUUCGACAGCAACUACUGCACGAGCUUUUUCAGCGAUGAAGAUUGUUAAAACAAGACUUCGCAAUCGGAUGGAGGAUGAUUUUCUUGCAAAUUAUUUGAUUGUCUAUAUAGAAAAAGAAAUUGCUGAAAGAUUCACAAUUGAUAUGAUAAUCGAUGAUUUCUACUCCAUGAAAGAAAGACAAAAACAAUUAAAAUAAAUAUGUAAGAAUCAUUCUUUAUUACUUUUUAUUUUAUUUAAAAGUUUUAUCAAACAUAAAUAAUGUAUCGCUUUAGCUAAUGUUUCUUAUAUAUUUUGUAUGUUUAUAUUUGAUAGGUACAAAAACCAACAAAAUUAAAGUGAUGAAUACAUUAUGAAGAUGAAAUUAACUUCAUAGCUUUGACUUAAUUUGAUAUUUGCUUUAAACAUCUUAUCUUAUACAAAAAUCAUAAUAUGUUUGUAAUUACUUUUUUGAAUAAAACUAAAUCAUGUCGUUUUUGUUUUUGUUUUUAUUUUUAUUUUUAUGUAAAGUAAAUUUUUAAAUAAAUUAUAUCUUUUAUUAUUUUAACCCCCAUUCAAAUAAUCCCAGCCCCUGACCGCAAUAACAAUCAAAAUAAAAUCUAAUUCUACCGGCUGCUAAGAAUACUAAAAUAGUGUAAAUUUUGACUUAAUUCAAUUAUUAGAAUUCGGGGCAGAUAACAGUGUUGAAGAAAAUGUCAGAAAAGUAGGGUAAACAGUACAAAUACCUUGGAUGAUGGUGACUAACGCCGUUUGUUUACGCGGGCGCGGGUGCGGUUGCCUUUUAAUUAAUAAAUAUCGGUAGUUGGAGACUUCUUGUUCUCGAAAAGAAAUAGUUAAUAGUGCCAAUAAUUAAUCUGCUCUCAACUUGCUACAAGCUGUCAUUACUCAUUACCAAAAUAUUAAAGAAACAAAUAUUUCCUAUUAGUAGAAAAGCGAUCUAAUAAAGCGAUUGUUCAGUUGACGUUAUUGAAUUGCUUUUUUAUAAAAAGUUAAUUUUUAAAUAUUUAUAGAUUAUUUUAUAUAUAAAUUUAAAAAAAAUCUUAAAAAAUUUAAAAAUAUAUUUUAAUAUAAUUAAAAAAAACAUUUGAAAAACAAUUAAUAGUAUAGUCUCAGGUCUCAACCACCCAAAAUAUACAUUUGAAAAACAUUUUAUAUACCUUGGAUUAAAUUGUGUUGUAGGUUCCACACCAUUUAAAGCUUGCAAAGAAGGAUUUAAAACACAAUCACGCUAAAGAUUUGCAAUCCAAUAUAAUAUGAAAUAAAACCCCAUUGCAUCACCGGACAUGUGAUCAAUAAUAUUAAAAUACUGUAAAUUUUGAUUUAAUUCAAUUAUUAGAGCUUGAGGCAGCGUGACAAUGUGAAAGAAAAUGUCAGAAAAUCUUGGAUGAUGGUGACCAUAUCAGUAAUUUGAGACAGCAAGUUCUCGAAAGGUAAUAGUUGAUGGUACCAAAAAUUAAACCAGCUCUCAACUCGCUACAAAUAGCUGCCAUGGCCUUUCGUUCUACAUUAUAUUUCUUUUUUUACUUUCAUGGAAUCCUCUUUGCCUUCCACCCCAAUCUUGGAUUCUGGUGAAAGUGCAGAGAGGAAAAAUGAAGCAAAAAAUUACAAUGAAGUAAUGUACACCCUUCCAAAAGUUAAAGGCUUGAGGGGGAAUGAUUAUUACCUGUACCAAGGCUUUUGGUACUCUUCCUUCUUCUUGGAAGGACUCAUGUCUGUUCAAGAGCACUUCAAUCCUCAAUCCACUGAUAUAUUUCUCACCAGUUCUCCAAAAACUGGCACAACUUGGCUUAAGGCCCUCGCUUUUGCUAUUCUUACACGAUCCCGUUUAAGUGGUUCAACAACUAGUUCUUUACUUACCAAGAUGCCACAUGACUGUGUUCCUUUUUUGGAAUAUCACCUUGCUCAAAACCCAAGUAAUCGGGACUUGGCAAUUCCCCUGCUAUCUACUCAUGUUCCUUACAGUUGUUUACCUAAAUCUAUCAUUUCUUCUAGUUGCAAGAUUAUUUACAUUUGCAGGGACGCAAAGGAUGCUUUUGUUUCUUUGUGGUGCUUUUUUCCGCGCAUCAAAUGUCGAAAAAUGUUGAACCUCUUCCUCUGGAAGAGGCCUUUGAGAUGUUUUGCAACGGAAUUUCAGUCUUGGGACCAUAUUGGGACCAUGUUUUAGGGUAUUGGAGAGCAAGAUUUGAGUUCCCUGAGAAGAUAUUGUUCUUGACAUACGAGGAAAUGAAGAUAGACACCGCUGCUCAUGUUAAGAAACUAGCUGAGUUCAUGGGUUGUUCUUUCACCUUCGAGGAAGAGGAGGAAGGGGAGGUGCAAAAGAUAAUAAGCAUGUGUAGUUUUGAGAAGUUGAGCAACUUUGAGGUGAAUAAAAAUGGGAAGCACCGUCCCGUCCGGACACAUCAAUUGCUAUUCAAAAUAGUUUAUACUUUAGGAAAGGUGAGAUAGGCGACUGGGCAAAUCACUUGACACCUGAGAUGGGAGCGCGUCUAGAUGACAUAAUGGAGCGGAAGCUCAAGGGUUCAGGCUUGAAGCUGCCCAGGUGACCGUGCCUGGGGUCCCAUUUGCAUAUGAUUAUUGCCGAAGUGGGUUCAUCAAAAGGUGUUAUCAGGAUGUCGUGAAACAGCAACUGUGUAUCCCAAUAAAUACCCUCUCUGUUCAUAGCAAGUAUUCACAUUUUGUGAAUCUUCCAUGUCAAUAAGCAAUAUUCUUUUGUGAAUCUGUGUUUGUGACUUUCAUUGAUUUCCUUGCAUGUUUGUAAGAAUUCAAAAUGGGAUUCGUUUUUUUUUUUUAUUUAACACAAGUGCAUGCAUUCCAUUCAUCAGUUUGAUAAAAAAUAAAUUUACUCUAAUAUAUAAUAUUAGAGUGUUUUCUUCACAGAAAUUGCAGUGUGUUUUUCUUCACAGCUAUACAUGUUUGAAAAGAACCGAGACAACCAUACAUGAGGGUGGAGCAAAGACCAACCGAGACAACCAUCCAUUAAGAUUGUUGAAUUGCAGAUCAAAUGAACGUAGGCGGCACAUCUACUGAAAGGAUCUCGAAAUGCCUUGUAAUUGGUUAAAAUAAAAGAUCAAGAUCUGUAGGAGAACUCGUGUUUUCCACUCCUAAAAUAAGCCCAGUUGCCGGCUUCAUUUGCAACAGAGACACAUAAAGAAUCUGAAAGCAGUUCUUAUGCACUAUCAGCAAAAUAAUUUGACCAGUCAGAAUGAUUUUUUUCCCCCUUACUAGGCUCAGAUCACAAUCCUUCUUACUUCAAACAAAUCUUUUGGAACCGAUAUGUCGAGGGAUGGCUUGAUUUAUACCGGAGAUUUUGAUGGAAACUUAAAGAAGCGUGGCUUAAUUAUACCUUGGAUGCGCAAAUUGAUUACAGGGAAAAAAUGACAGAAAGUGAGUUGCAGGGAAUGAAAAAGGCAUUUGUAAACUCAACACCUUUCAGGGCAUCGUUCCUUGGUUUACUCCCUUUUAUUUCUUAUUUUGUUUUUCCUGCCAUUGUCUAAGUUUUUCUAACUCGCAGUCUGGUCUCUGCAGAGAAUGAGACAGCAAAAACGCUUUAAGAGAAGAUAUUCUCCGGCAACGGCAUCAAACAGAAAAGUCUGACAUCAACUAAGUGCGUGUUUGACACUCCGGUUAUGUUUACAUAAAAAACAUCGUUGUCAUGUGUUUGGUUACAGUCUAAACAUAAUUUUCUGUUUGUGAGACCCGUUAUCAUUUGCUUUUAAACCGCAAGAUAACCAAAAGCAACUUCAAGCUGCCUUUUGUGUUGAGUUGCAAACUUUAUAAACAAAGGCCACAAGAAAAAGAGCAGAAACAUAGCAGUGAAUAGUAAACAGUGGAGAGUAGCUCCCUCUCACCACCGGCAUCCACCGUUUCCACCGCCAGCCACUGCUCUUCCUCUUCCCCUUCUCCUUCUCCUUUAUCUUCUGCAUUGUCCACUGUUCACGUUGCAUGUGAACAGUGGAGAGCAGCUCACCACCGGCCUCCGCUGUUUCCACCGCCAGCCACUACUCUUCCUCUUUCCCUUCCCCUUCUUCUUCUUCUUCUACAUUUUCCACUGUUCACAUGAACAGUGGAGAGCAUCUCCACUAUUCAUGGCCGGAUUGGGUCUGACCCAAACCUAAAUGCAUUGGACUGGGUCCGACCAAGUAAAAUAAAAAAAUCUAAAAACAUUUCUUAGAUAUUGUGUUUUAUUUGAAAAACUAGUGUUUAAAAUUAUUCAAUGACACUAUAUAAUUAUAUUAGAAGGAGAUCGCAUGAUGACAUAGCAUUUGCAGAAUUUGAUUGCAAUCCCAAUUUUGUUCCUAAUGAUAUUUUACCUGAUGUGAUGAUAUUUUACCUGAUGUUGGUAUACGUUCAAGAAGCCAUGAAAACUGUAGUUCUUGUCGGAUGGAUUUCGUACGUGAUUGAAUUGCAAAUAGUUUAAUAAAACAAUAAAAAAUACUUUAUAUAAAGUAUUGUUUAUUUCAUGAUUUAAUAGCAGUAGUUAAAUCUAUAAUAUUUCAAUUAAAAACCAUCAAUAUUAAUAUAUGUUUUUUUUAAUUAUUUUAUAACCUUAAUUUGAAAAAUAUUCUUUAAACCAAACACAUUAAACUACUUUUUGUUCAACCUCAAUUUCAACCACAAUUUUAACCAAAUAUAUAUUUUUUCAAACCAAUCUCAACUAAAAGUAAUUUUUAUAAAACAACUUUUUCAAACUAUAACCACAACAGCUACCACAAUACCAAAUACACAUAAAAAAAACUGUAAUGAUAAGCAAGUUAAAGUGCCACCAUUGAUUUAGGAUCUGCUUUAGAUCUUAUAAGGUGAAAGUAAAACACAAGGAAAUGCAUGCAUGCACACCACUAAUCUUUGAUUCUGGCGAGAACAGUGAUGACUACACUCAGAACCAUAUAGAAUUACAUUCCAAGAUGAAGAAAUUAAUAACAGAGCAGUGCUAUAAAGCUAAAUGUGAGAACCAAAGAUUAAUAAGCAAUGCUGAAAAUUUUAUCAUGCAUAAGAUGAGAGAAGCACAGGACAGAUUUUAUCAAAUCUAUAGUUUUUCUUCAAUAAUAAUAAUAUUUUUUAAAAAUUUAAUAAUAAUAAAAAAAAAAAACUCAUGUUCCUUGGCUCUUUCUCUUGCCAAACUGAAGCUACCAUAGUCAAAUCCAAGUAACUUAGAUGUCACGCUCUUGCUAAACCCAAGUUAUUUGGGUAUGACAUCUCAUGCUGGACUCAUAGCAUUCCAGAUCAAAGGUGUUGAUAUCUAACAAUAAUACCUCACCCGAGCCCUAAGAUGUGAUUGCUUUUCUAGACCCGAGGGCCAAGGCACCAAGACACUAUUCACUAUAAGUCAAGUCAAUGAAUCAAUCAAUCGAUUUUAAAGAUCAAGUUUUUUUUUUAAUAGAGAAACAAAACUUUUAUUAACAUUGAAAUAACUCUUAAAAUCUUAAUAAAAUUAAUUUGAAGUAAAAAUAAUAUUAAAAGAAAUAUUCAGAAGCACUUUUUGAUUGUAAAAUCAAACACACUAAAAUCAUGUAGAUUUUCAUUUAGACAUUAAAAUUCAAGAAGAAAUUAAGUUCACAGUACUAUUAAUUCAAUCGAUGAAGGAUUAGACCCAACUACUUUAGGGCCACCAUUGACAUUGAUUACUUUGAAUAAUUUUAAUUUAUAGGCAUAAAAAAUUAAUACAUAUCUUUAAGAGGAUCAAUUUUAGAUUAUCUCUCUCUCUCUCUCUCUAUUUUUUUUUUGGUUUUCAAAUAUUUGACAUUUUCGUUUAGAUAAGCUCUAGUGUGUGUUUUUUUAAGAUUAUUUUAAAUCAUGUUUCUUGAAAUGUCAAAAACAUUUCAUGGAUUAAUUUAACUUAAUAACGCCAAAGAAUUAGGAAUUAAAACUGACAAUUUCCACCAUGUAAGAGUACCUAAUUGAAAAUUUACUUUCUUAUCAUUUACCUCAAUUAAGCGGAAGCAUGAUCAUGAGAAGGGAUUUGGAGAAAGAAUUAUAAACAGAGAAUAAGAGAAAAUGUAAUGUGUAUAGAUUUUCUUAAUGAAUUAAUUAUGAUACAACAGAAGCUCAUAUAUAUAUAUAUAUACAUUCUAAACUAAUCAGUUAUGAAAUGUUAUUACAAAUAUAAUUUGAAUUUCAAUUUUAAAAUCAUGAUUAGUGCAGGUUUAUCAAUGCAGCAGAAUAUCCAUCAUAAACAAGAAGUUCACAGUUACAAAGUUUGAAUCUUUGUAACUGUAACUCUCUUUUGAAACUCUCUUCUUGGUCUUCAAUAUCCGUUAGCUAGCUGGAGAUGUAACAGUUACAAAGUUUGAAUCUUUGUAACUGUAACUCUCUUCUUGGUCUUCAAUGUCUGUCAGUUACAAAGUUUGAAUCUUUGUAACUGUAACUCUCUUAUGCUUAACAUUCCCCUGCAAACUGAUGGGGAUAGGAAUCACCAUCAAUUUGGACCGUAAAAACAUAAACCUUGCUGUAGUAUGACCUUUGGUGAAGACAUCUGCAAUCUGGUCAUAUGUUGAAAUAUAUCGUACAAGAAUAUCCUUAUUAAGAACUUUUUCACGGAUGAAGUGAUAAUCCACCUCUAUGUGCUUCGUUCGGGCAUGAAAAACAGGAUUAGAGGCAAGAGAUAUUGCACCUACAUUAUCACACCAUAGUGUAGGAGGUGACGACAAUGAAAUGCCAAGAUCUUGCAAUAACAUUCGAAGCCAAUAUAGUUCAGCAGUGACAAGAGCCAUGGAUCGAUAUUCGGCCUCAGUACUGGAUUUAGACACAACACUUUGUUUCUUUGCACUCCAGGAUAUGAGAUUUUGGCCUAGAAACACAAUAUAACCACUUGUAGAUUUUCUAUCAUCAGGAUUCCCAGCCCAAUCUGCAUCACAGAAAGCAUCUAAUGUUGUUGUCGAUUGAGUGUAGUGAAUACCAUAAUCAAUUGUUCCUUUCAAGUAACGAAGAACUCUUUUGGUAGCAAUCCAGUGUGGUUCUCGUGGAGCAUGCAUGAAUUGGCAUAAUUGGUUCACUGCAUAGCUGAUGUCAGGUCUUGUUAAAGUGCAAUAUUGAAGAGCACCAAUAACUUGAUGAUAUUCAGUUGGAUCAUUCAAUAUCCGUUAGCUAGCUGGAGAUGUAACAGUUACAAAGUUUGAAUCUUUGUAACUGUAACUCUCUUAUGCUUAACAUUUGGGAGGCACUUAGAUUAGGCUCUUCUCUAGUCUUGAGAAGCAAAACCAAUAGAGACGUGAUUGCGCACUCCCUGAGCUAUAUAGUAAGUGGCUGCAAACAAAUUGUCAGCACCAAUUCAGGUCCGGAAAAUUAAAGCAUUGAAGCAUAAAAGGUGACCUAACCUAAUUAAGCAAAUUACUACUUAUUCCAGCAUCACCUAGGAGUGAGACAGCCAGCCCAUCCAGUGUCUACAUGGUAAGGGAAUAAUUCCUUCAAGAAUGCAGAGAAAAUUAUACUUGCAAUACAACUAUAAACGAGAUGGUACAGUGCGGAAGGCAAGAUGUUAAAUCAAUUGAUCUUAUUAUAAUACUGUGAAAUAUGAUCAGGACAAAAAAAUAAAUAAAGAAAGAAAGAGUUGUUUAUUUUACAAUGAUCGAUAUGAUGCUUCUUUGCAUGUGGAAUCUUCGUCAAAGACUUGUUGAAAAUGCCAAAUUGUGAUCCACUUUUGGCUGUGUCAAAUGCAUGGGUGGGGCUUCACACAGAGCUAUUACCCCUUGUGUAAACUCAACGCCAGUUUUCAUGAGUUCUUUGGGAUUCUAACAUAGUAAAAAAAAGAAAGAUAAAAUAACAAAGUGUAAAGAAUAUUUAGUGAAAUAGAUAUUCGUGAUUAAUCAGUAGCAAUUAUUAUAUGCUGGCUCUCUCGGGUUUACUUGACAGAAGAUUUAUUAAAAAGAGUUGAUAAAGGAGAAAGAAAAGAAAAGAAAAUCUUCAAGGUAUAUCAAAACUCUGAUAAUAAUAUUAUUGGUAUUGUUAAAAAAAUCUCGACAAGACAAAUCGAAAAAUAACAAUGAAGGUCAUCAAUGACGAUAAAAAUAAGUCAUACGAGUGGCCCAAGAUAAGUGAGUUUUAAUACUUUUGAACAGCUUGUAUGAUUCAUUUUAUUCACUAUUUAUAAUCUUUUUUGAUGCUGUUAAAUUCAUCUUGUAAUGAUGUUGAUAAUGUUAUCAUUAUAAUUUCAAUGUAUUUUUAUUUUUAUUAUUAUUUUUUGUUUUGCUCUCUCUCCUCUCUCAUUGUAAUUUAUGAAGAGUAAGAGAGGGGGAAAAAAAAAACCCUAGUCUUCCAAUUUAAUCUGGCUGAAUACUACUAUCUCAAUCUUAUUCACUACUUUGUCAAAGCAAAGUAGAUUUUUCCUUAAAUAAGAUCUAAUCCACCGGCGGAUAGGUGAUCAAGAAUAUUAAAUUAGUGUAAAACUUGAUUUAAUUCAACAUUAUAAUUAGAGGUGCUAUAAUAAUGUGAAAAAAAGAAUAAAAAAACUAGAUGAUGGCGACCACAUAUCAAUAAUUCCAGACAUCACGUGGAGCACUUUCAUCAUCAUUAUUAUUAUUGGUAUAAUAAUGUUUGUUGUAUUAUUUUUUAAUUGUUAAGUUGUUUACUAUAUGUUAAAAUUUCAAGAUCUUCAAAGAUUGGGAAGAUCGGAUCUAAAGUUACUAUGGGACUGUCUUUAUUUUCCUAUUUGGAUUUUUUUAUUUAUAUUAAGAAUUUAAAUUUAAUUAGUAUUUUAUUAUUUAAAAAUUUUAAUGGUAAAUUGAUUCUAUUAGUUAGGUAAAUUUUAAAUAUAAAUUAUUUUUCUAUACAAAAUUUUAAAUCUAGAACUAAUAUAAAUAAAAAUAUUUAGUUUAUUUUUGUUCGAGGAUUCAUAUUAUUAUUUAAAUUUUUUUAUAAAUAUUUAGAGAUUUUUUCUAAUUUCCUAUGGUGUUAGGGAUUAUAACCUUAAGGUUUGGUUUGAAAUAAUGAUGACAGUUAUUUCUUAAAGUGUUUUUCACUUGAAAAUACAUUAAAAUAAUAUUUUUUUUAUUUUUUAAAUUUUUUUUUGAUAUCAGCAUAUCAAAACAAUUCAAAAACACCAAAAACUUAAUUUGAAAAAAAAUCAAAAUUUAUAAAAACCCCGGUUAAAAUGUUUUACCAAACACUUCUUAGUUUUUAAUAUUAAUACAUCAAAACAAUCCAAAAAUAUUAAUUUAAAAUUUUUAAAAACUCCGGUUGCGUUUGUAAGAUGUGUUGCGGCUCUCAACUUGCUACAAUGGCCUUUCUUUAAUAUUUUAUUUACACCAUUCAUGGAACCCUCUUUGCCUUCCACACAAAUCCCGGAUUUUGGUGAAACUGCUAAGAGGAAAAAUGAAGAGCUUUCCAAAGGCCAUGCUAAAACUACAAAGAAGUGAUCUCUACCUUUCCAGAAGUUAAAGGCUUUUGGGACGUUCCGCUCUUCUUGGGAAGACUCAUGUCAGUUCAAGAACACUACAAGCCUCAAUCCACUGAUAUAUUUGUCGCCAGCUUUCCAAAAACGAAGGAAAUCUUUGGUUAAUGUUCUCUGAAUCUCUCCUUUUCUCCUUCAAGAGUGAAAUUUAUGUGCCUUUCGUACCUUUUUACGUUAGAACAUUUCAUUUGUUCUUGUUUUCUAAAUUGAGUCUUUUCUAUGCGUUUUAUUAUUUUAUUUAUUGGGUAUUUGAGAGUGUAGUAAUAGUUAUAAUUUAAAGUGUUUUUAUUCAAAAAUAUAUUAAAAUAAUAUAUAUUUUUAAUUUUUUAAUAUUCAUCUUUUGACAACAUCACUCCAAAACAUUAGAAAACAUAAAAAAAAAAAAAACAAUUAGAAAACAAUUAGAAAACGCAAGAUUGCAUCAAUGCUAAAUGCAAUAUAUAUAUAUAGGUGCGCGCGCGCGCGUGUGUGAGAGAGAGAGAGAUCCACCUGUGUGUGAAAUGCAUAGUGAUGUUCCACAGCGAGCCAUUAUCUAUUAUGUAAAAUCUCUGAGAAAUGUCAUAGAUCAAUUGGUCGAUAUAGCAAAUUGAUAGGUUAAAGCUGCUCAUAAUCAAUACCUCUAAAAGAUUAUCUUUGGUGGAGAUGAAAACUUUUUGAUAUGUAAAUAAGUAUUUAAAAAAAAAUUAAAUAUUCUAUAAAGAGAUGUUCUGAAAAUACAAAUGCAGUAGAGAAUUGGAGAUUGUGAAUCUUUAUUAUGAAGGUCUCAUGAUAUAUUUAUAGCUCGAAUCUUGUCAUUUUGUGAAAAUAAGAGUUUGCAGUGUAAUUAACCUGAUAACAUUUAAUGAGGAAUAAAUAUCAUUUACAUGAUGGGAAUAUGGUGGGUCCUCGAAGGAGUUUUAUACACCUUAAAAGGUAUCAGAAAAUUAGAGUUUAAGAUAUCAAGUGUAGCUGAGCUUAUAGAGAUCAAGUUCUUUCUUGAGAUUAAAUCCAAGGGAGGUUUGUCAUUCCCCUGGACAUGCCAAGGAAGAAUGGUUAUUAUCUUGGACUUGGUUGGUUGCCAAAUCCAAGCAUCUUGGGCAUGACAUGCGUGCCAGAUCCACACUACCUUGAAGUUGGAGCACUACUAAGUCCAAGCGCCUCGGGUCUGACAUGCAUGCCAGACUUAUACUACGCUGGACUUGGUGCAUUACUAAGUCCAAAUGCCUUGGGUCUGAUAUGCCUGUUAGACCUAUAUUAUCUUGGGCUUGACGCAUUACUAUAUUCAAGCACCUUGAACUUAAUUAAUUGUCAAGUCCAUGCAUCUUAGAUUUAGAUCUAACAUAUACACUAGACUCAUAUUACAUUGAAUCUAGCGCAUUACAAAGUUAUAAUGCCUUGAAUUAAGUAUAUGUGCCACAUCCAUACAUUUUAAAAAACCAAACGAAAACUAAAUAAAAAGUUGACUCAUCGCUAAUCUAUAAAUACUAUCUACAUAAUGGCCUUAGUUGAUAUCUUCUACCGCUUACUACAUUUACUUGAAUAAUGAAAAUGUUUUUUUUUUUUAAUGGAAAAGAGAUUUUAACUCCAUCUUCAAUUACUAUAUAAAUGUUUCCUUGGGUUUUGAAAACGCAAUCAUGCUAAAAAUUUAUUAUCUAAUAUAAAAUAAAAUGUAUUUGUUUUUAUAUUUUAAAAAUGUUUUUUUUUUAAUUUUUUAAUUUUCAUCUUGUUUUGAUGUGUUAAUAUUAAUAAUAAAUUUUAAAAAUAAAAAAAAUAUUAUUUUAAUAUAUUUUUUAAAUUAAAAAUAUUUUAAAAAAUAACUAUUACAACAUUAACGAAUAAGAUUUAAUAUAAAAAACAUUCUAAUUGCAUCAGCUGAGAGGUGAUCAACAAUACCGCAUUCCCGAACUUCACAUCCCUAUAUUAAUGGAUUGUGUUGUGGGCUCCACGCCAUUUAAAGCUUGUAAGAGAAACCACACCUCUAAAUAGAAACCACACGAUCACGCUAAAAGAUUUGCUAUCGAAUAUAAUAUGAAAUAAAACCCAAUUGCAUCAGCGGACAUGUGAUCAAUAAUAUUAAAAUAAGGUAAUAGUUGAUGGGCCACAAAUUAAACCAGCUCUCAACUCGCUACAAAUAGCUGCCAUGGCCUUUCAUUCUACGUUAUAUUUUCAUUUUUUACAUUCAUGGAAUCCUCUUUGCCUUCCACCCAAAUCUCGGAUUCUGGUGACAGUGCAGAGAGGAAAAAUGAAGCUAAAAAUUACAAUGAAGUGAUGUCCACCUUUCCGAAAGUUAAAGGCUUGAAUGGGUAUGAUUAUUACCUGUACCAAGGCUUUUGGUACGCUCCCUUCUUCUUGGAAGGACUCUUGUCUGUUCAAGAGCGCUUCAAUCCUCAAUCCACUGAUAUAUUUGUCGCCAGUUGUCCAAAAACUGGCACAACUUGGCUUAAGGCCCUCACUUUUGCUAUUUUCACACGAUCCCGUUUAAGUGGUUCAACAACUAGUUCUUUACUUACCAAGAUGCCACAUGACUGUGUUCCUUUUUUGGAAUAUCACCUUGCUCAAAACCCCAGUAAUCGGGACUUGGCAAUUCCUCUGGUAUCUACUCAUGUUCCUUGCACUUGUUUACCUAAAUCUAUCAUUUCUUCUUGUUGCAAGAUUAUUUACAUUUCCAGGGACGCAAAGGAUGCUUUUGUUUCUUUGUGGUACUUUCUUGCCAGGCUGCAAAUGUCGAAAAAUGUUGAACCUCUUCCUCUGGAAGAGGCAUUUGAGUUGUUUUGCAAUGGAAUUGCAAAUUUUGGACCAUAUUGGGACCAUGUUUUAGGGUAUUGGAGAGCAAGCUUCGAGUUCCCUGAUAUUGUUCUUGACAUACGAGGAAAUGAAGAAAGACACCGCUGCUCAUGUUAAGAAACUAGCUGAGUUCAUGGGUUGUUCUUUCUGUUGCAUUAAACUCAAUCUAGAAGGUUAAGGAAGGCAACCACCACUUGCAGCCACUAGCUGUCACCGCCUAGCCGCCAGCCGUCUUCAUACUUGAAAGUUGAAUUAUCUUGUUUUUGAAUUCUGUGUAUAAAUAGAUAGCUAAGUGGAUGUUAUUCUGUGUGGAAAGAGAAGAAAGAAACACUAGAGAGAAAGAGAGAGGGAGUGUGUAGCUUUUGUUUAAUUAUUGUAAGCUUUUAUUGUUGAAAUAAAACAGUGUGUUUUAUCUCUUCUGAGUGUUUCAAAGCCACCACCAGUGGUUUCUCCCACCAACAAUUGGUAUCAGAGCCUCGUUCGUCACAAAACACAAGUAUUUUGGGAGAUACACGAAUUUUCAAAGUUGUCAAAAACAAUUUUUGAUCAUUCCACAAUGUAGAGCUCAUCCAUACGAACUCACUGGUGCAAAAAUCAGCUUCAUCGGAGCCCGAGGUGAUCCCCACGCGCCUCCUGAAAUUCCGGUAACUGUAGCCCAGUCUCACCCACGCGCUCCAGAGGUUGAAGACGCCAGAGGUUGAAGACGAGUGUCGUCCACGCGCGCCAUAUUCGAGCCGAUCCCCAGCCGAGCCGAUCUUUAGCCUCAGCCGAGCCGAUAGAAUAUUCCCCAGAAUAUUCCCGGUUCAACCCCAGCGAACCGCCUAACGUCCAGAAUCGGUUUUCAGACCGGUUCAGCCUAUUUCUGACCCAUUUUCAUCCAAGUCAGGCCGGUUCCCUACUGUUUUGAGCAUUCUGGAUCCAUCUACGGUGUCUGUUUUGCCAAAUUCAACUCCCAGAAGGUGAUAUAGUCAUUCAAAAAGCAAAAUGACUACAGAAAAUGCACAAACACUCAUCCCGAAGCUGACCAAAGACAACUAUGAUAGUUGGUGUAUCAGAUUGAAGGCAUUUCUUGGUUUACAAGAGUGUAUAGAGAUUGUGCAAUAUGGUUAUGAUGAACCAGAGUCUAAAGAAGUAGAAGAUACUUUAAAUGAGGCAGAAAAGCAAGUCCUCAAAGCAAAUAGAAAGAAAGACAACAAAGCAAAGACCAUAAUCUAUCAAGGUCUUGACGAAGCUAUAUUCGAAAUUAUUGCUUCCGCAGAAACAUCAAAAGAGAUAUGGGAGGCUCUCCAACAAAAAUACAAAGGUGCUGACAGAAUCAAGAAGAUUCGUCUCCAAUCUUUGCGAGGUGAGUUUGAAUUAUUGCAAAUGAAGGCCUUAGAAUCUAUUUUUGACUAUCACACAAGAAUUAUGGUGAUAGUCAAUCAGAUGAGAAGAAAUGGAGAAGCCCUCACAGAUGCUCGGAUUACAGAGAAAAUUUUGAGAUCCCUAUAUCCAAAAUUUUAUUUUGUUGUUGUCGUUAUUGAAGAGUCCAAAGAAGUGGACAAGUUGAUGGUGGAUGAGCUUAUGAGUUCUUUGCAAGCUCAUGAGCAAAAGAUCGUGAAAAGAAAUGGAGAUAAGGCAAUUGAGCAUGCCUUACAAGCAAAGUUGUCUCUCAAAGACAGAUAUGAGCAAGGGGAGACUUCAAUAAGUGGAUAUACCACUCAAGGAAGAAGUCCACAAAGACGAGGAGGAUUUCAGCAAUUCCAAGGAAGAGGAUCUUGGAAUACAGGUUUUAGAGGAAGAGGUGGCAGAUAUACCACUAGAGGAGGCCGAGGACAACAAUCAUUCACUCCUAAAGGAAGAGGAGGCGGUUACAAUAACCGUGACAAGAGGAAUAUCCAGUGUUAUAAGUGCAAUCAAUUUGGGCACUAUAGCAUUGAAUGUCAAAGGAAAGCUCCAUUAGAGGUACGUGAGCAUGCAAACUAUGCAGAGGAGGAUGCCAACAGCAGAGGAGCAGCUGCAUUAUUUGUCCAACAAGGACUUGACAAGAAUCAAGAGAAUAUUUGGUAUCUUGAUUCUGGAGCCAGCAAUCACAUGUGUGGCCAACGAGAUCUAUUUGGCGAUCUAGAUGAGACCAUACAAGGUCUAGUCACCUUUGGAGAUACAUCAAAAGUUCCAUUCAAAGGUAAAGGCAACAUCCCAAUCAAGUUGAAGAAUGGCGAUCAUAGCUACAUCGCCAAUGUCUACUAUGUCCCAGCCAUAAAGCAAAACUUGGUGAGCAUAGGUCAACUUCUAAAGAAAGGUUAUACACUUUUCAUGAAGAAUUGUCAUCUGACAGUUACAGACUACAAUGGGAGAUUAAUUGCCUAUGUGAAAAUGUCCAAGAAUAGGAUGUUUCCUUUAAACAUCCAAUAUGAUGCAGCAAAGUAUUUGAGUGCCAUCACCAACAGUGAAGAGUGGCUUUGGCACCUGAGGCUUGGACAUCUGAAUUUCACAAGUCUGAAGAUGCUAGCAAGCAAGAAGAUGGUCAAAGGUAUGCCCCACAUUGAUCAUCCAGAUGAAGUCUGUGAGAGUUGUGUCCUCAGCAAACAUCACAGAUCCAAUUUUGCCAAAGAAGUCAACUGGAAAGCAAACAAGCCACUGGAGUUAGUGCACACAGAUGUGUGUGGUCCCAUAAAGCCUAUGUCGACUGGACCAAAUAGGUACUUCCUUACUUUCAUUGAUGAUUUUAGCAGAAAGACGUGGAUAUACUUUCUGAAGAGGAAGUUAGAAGUGUUCAAUUGUUUUAAAGAUUUUAAAGCAAUUGUUGAGAAGCAAAGUGGCUAUAAGAUCAGAACCGUGAGAUCUGAUCAAGGUGGAGAAUAUACAGCAAAUGACUUUGAAGCCUUUUGUACACAACAAGGCAUCAAACAUCAGACAACACCAGCUUAUACACCACAGCUGAAUGGUGUAGCUGAAAGAAAGAAUCGAACGAUUCUUGACAUGGCGAGAAGUCUACUCAAAGCAAAGAAGCUGCCCAAACAAUACUAGGCUGAAGCUGUAUCAUGUGCAGUGUAUCUACUGAAUCGCUGCCCAACCAAAAGUUUGCAAGCUGUCACUCCACAAGAAGCAUGGAGUGGUCACAAACCAAGUGUUACUCAUCUUCGAGUCUUUGGUUGUGUGGCAUAUGCAAAGAUCCCAGAUGCAAGAAGGACCAAACUCGAUGAUAAAAGCGAGAAAUGCAUCUUUGUCGGAUAUGGUGAGAGAAAGAUGGGAUACAAGCUGUAUAAUCUCAUCACAAAGAAGGUAAUUAUGAGUAGAGAUGUUAUCUUUGAAGAAGAUAAAACAUGGCAAUGGAAGGAUGACCAAGAAGCAGUCAAAUGGAUCAGCACUGAUUUGAUCCUUGAAGAUGAAGUGGAAGUACCACCAGUACUUGCAGAAGGUCUGAUAUUACCGGCAGAUGAGCCACAAAGUUCGGUACACAGAUUCCCUGUAUUCAACAGGAGAAACACACCAGAAUCAUCAUCAGCAUCCUCAUCAGAAGGACCAAGAAGGAUGAGAAAUCUAGACGAGUUGUACGAUGUCAUGCAAGUCAUGGAAGAUACAACUCUAUUUUGUUUCUUUACAGAUACUGACCCACUUAGCUUCAAUGAAGUUAUCAAAGAAGAGAAGUGGAUAUAAGCAAUGGAUGAAGAAAUACAUGCUAUUGAGAAGAAUGACACCUGGAAGCUGACUAAUCUACUAGAAAACAAGAAAGCAAUAGGUGCCAAAUGGGUCUAUAAGACAAAGAAGAAUGCAAAAGGAGAAGUGCAAAGAUACAAAGCAAGAUUAGUAGCAAAAGGCUACAAAUAAAGAGAAGGCAUUGACUAUGGAGAAGUAUUUGCUCCAGUAGCCCGGCUAGAGACAAUCAGACUGAUGAUCUCACUAGCUGCACAACAUAGAUGGAAGAUCUAUUAACUCGAUGUGAAGUCAGCAUUUCUGAAUGGCUUCCUAGAAGAAGAGAUCUAUGUUGAACAACCACUUGGAUACAUCGAAGCUGAAAAUGACGGCAAAGUAUACAAGUUGAAGAAAGCUCUCUACGGUUUGAAGCAAGUUCCGCGUGCUUGGAAUACCAGAAUUGACAGGUAUUUUCAAGAAAAUGAAUUUGAAAAAUGUCCAUAUGAACACGCAAUAUAUGUGAAGAAAGAAGCAGAUAACAACAUAUUAUUUGUGUGCCUAUAUGUUGAUGAUUUGCUAUUCACCGGCAACAACCCAACCAUGUUUGAAGCCUUCAAGAAAAGCAUGGUACAAGAGUUUGAGAUGACAGACAUUGGUCUGAUGGCACACUUUCUUGGCUUAGAAGUGGUGCAGAAAGAAGAAGGGAUUUUUGUAUCCCAAAGCAGUUAUGCCAAAGACAUUCUUGAAAGGUUCAAGAUGGAAAGCUGCAAUCCGGUAUCAACUCCAGUUGAGAAUGGAGUAGAAUUGAGGAAGAGUAAAGUUGGAAAUGUUGAUCCAACUUACUUCAAAAGCUUAGUAGGAAGCUUAAGGUACUUGACAUGUACCAGACCGGAUAUACUCUACGGAGUUGGUCUUAUCAGCAGAUACAUGGAGACACCAGACCAGUCUCACUUGAAUGCAGCCAAGAGAAUUCUUCGCUACAUCAAAGGAACAAUCAAUGAAGGUAUGUUUUAUACCUCAAGUACAAACUUCAAUCUUGUUGGCUACUCGGAUAGUGAUUGGGGUAGAGAUCUGGAUGAAAGGAAAAGCACAACAGGGUUUGUCUUUUUCAUGGGAAAUACAUUUUUCACAUGGUCAUCCAAGAAGCAAUCGAUAGUAACGUUAUCAAGCUGUGAAGCUGAGUAUGUUGCUGCCAACUCAGCUGUAUGCCAUUUAAUAUGGUUAAGAAAUAUGCUGAAGCAUUUGGGAUUUCCUCAAGAAGAUCCCACAGAGAUUUAUAUUGAUAAUCGAUCAGCGAUUGCAUUAGCAAAGAACCCGGUGUAUCAUGAACGAAGUAAACACAUUGAUACACGUCAACACUUUAUCCGAGAGCAUAUAAAGAACAAAGAAGUCGAGCUGAUAUCCUGCAAGACAAAUGAUCAAGUUGCAGAUAUCUUUACAAAGCCAUUGAAGGGAGAAACAUUUAUCAGACUGAAGUUCAUACUUGGCGUGACAUCCCUCGAUUAAGUUUAAAGGGGGGAUUUGUUGCAUUAAACUCAAUCUAGAAGGUCAAGGAAGGCAACCACCACUUGCAACCACCAGCUGUCACCGCCCAGCCACAAACCGCCCAGCCGCCAGCCACUAGCUGUAUGCCGCCAGCCUCCAGCCGCCUUCACACUUGAAGGUUGAAUUAUCUUGUUUUUGAAUUCGUGUAUAAAUAGGUAGCUAAGUGGAUGUUAUUCUGUGUGGAAAGAGAAGAAAGAAACACUAGAGAGAAAAGAGAGGGAGUGUGUAGCUUUUGUUUAAUUAUUGUAAGCUUUUAUUGUUGAAAUAAAACAGUGUGUUUUAUCCCCUCUGAGUGUUUCAAAGCCACCACCAGUGGUUUCUCCCACCAACACUUUCACCUUAGAGGAAGAGGAGGAAGGGGAGGUGCAAAAGAUAAUAAGCAUGUGUAGUUUUGAGAAGUUGAGCAACUUGGAGGUGAAUAAAAAUGGGAAGCACCGUCCGGACACAUCAAUUGCUAUUCAAAACAGUGUAUACUUCAGGAGAGGUGAGAUAGGCGACUGGGCAAAUCACUUGACACCUGAAAUGGGAGCACGUCUAGAUGACAUAAUGGAGCAGAAACUCAAGGGUUCAGGCUUGAAGCUGCCGAGGUGAAUGUGCCUAGGGUCCCAUUUGCUUGUGAUUAUUGCCGAAGCGGGUUCAUCAAAAGCUGUUAUCAACAUCUCGUGAAACAGCAACUGUGUAUCCCAAUAAAUACCCUCUCUGUUCAUCUCUUGUAUUUCCCAGCAAGUAUUCACAUUUUGUGAAUCAUCCAUGUCAAUAAGCAAUGUUCUUUGUGAAUCUGUGUUUUUGACUUUCAUUCAUUUCCUUGCAUGCUUGUAAGAAUUAAAAAUUGGAUUCGUUUUUUUUAUUUAUUUAUUUAACACAAGUUCAUGCAUUCCAUUAAUCAGUUCGAUAAAAAAUAAAUUUAGUCUAAUAUAUAAUAUUAGAGUGUUUUCUUCACAGAAAUUGCAGUGUGUUUUCUUCAGUUAUACAUGUUUUAAAAGAACCGAGACAACCAUCCAUUAAGAUUGUUGAAUUGCAGAUCAAAUGAACGUAGGCGGCACAUCUGCUGAAAGGAUCUCGAAAUGCCUUGUAAUUGGUUAAAAUAAAGAUCAAGAUCUGUAGGAGAACUCGUGUUUUCCACUCCUAAAAUAAGCCCAGUUGCCGGCUUCAUGUGCAACAGAGGCACAUAGAGAAUCUGAAAGCAGUUUUUAUGCACUGUCAGCAGAAUAAUUUGAUCAGUCAGAAUGAUUCCCCCCCUCUAGGGCUCAGAUCACAAUUCUUCCUUGAAACAAAUCUUUUGGAACCGAUAUGUGGAGGGAUGGCUUGAUUUAUACCGGAGAUUUUGUUGGAAAAUUAAAGAAGCAUGGCUUAAUUUGUACCUUGGAUGCGCAAAUUGAUUAGAGGGAAAAAAUGACAGAAAGUGAGUUACAGGGAAUGAAAAAGGCAUUAGUAAACUCAACACCUUUCAGGGCAUCGUUCCUUGGUUUACUCCGUUUUAUUUCUUAUUUUGUUUUUCCUGCCAUUGUCUAAUGUUUUUCGAACUCACAGUCUGGUCUCUGCAGAGAAUGAGAAAGCACAAAUUCUUUAAGAGAAGAUAUUCUCCGGCAAUGGCAUCAAACGGAAAAGUCCGACGUCAACUAAGUGUGUGUUUGGUGUUGCGGCCGUGUUUACAAAAAAACAUCGUUGUCAUGUGUUUGGUUACGGUCUAAACACAAUUUUCUAUUUGUGGGACCCAUUACUAUUUGCAUUUAAACUGCAAGAUAACCGGAAGCAACUUCAAGUUGCUUUUUAUGAUUAGUUGCAAACUAUGUUAUAAACAGAGGCCACAAGAAAAAGAGCAGAAAUAGAGCAGUGAAUAGUGAACAGUAGAGAGCAGCUGCCUCUCACCACCAACCUCCACCGUUUUCACUGCCAGCCACUGCUCUUCCUCUUCCCCUUCUCCCUUUCACGUGAACUGUGGAGAGUGGAGAGCAGCUCACCACCGACCUCCGCUGUUUCCAUCGCCAGCCACUGCUCUUCCUUUUCCCCUUCUCCUUUUCACGUGAAUAGUGGAGAGUGGAGAGCAGCUCACCACCGACCUCUGCUGUUUCCAUCGCCAGCCACUGCUCUUCCUCUUCCCCUUCUCCUUCAUCUUUUACGUUCUCCACUGUUAAUGUGAACAGUGGAAAGCAGCUCAUUACCGGCCUCUGCCAUUUUCACCGCCAGCCACUGCUCUUCCCCUUCCCCUUCCCCUUCGUCUUCUGCAUUCUCCACUGUUCACGUUGCAUGUGAACAGUGGAGAGUAGCUCACCACCGGCCUCCAUUGUUUCCACCGCCAGCCAUUGCUCUUCCUCUUCCCCUUCUCCUUCUCCUUCAUCUUCUGUAUUCUCCACUGUUCACGUGAACAGUGGAGAGCGUCUCCACUGUUCAUGACCGGACCGAGUCAAACCCAAACCUAAAUGCAUUGGACCGGGUCCGACCCAAUAAAAUUAAAAAAAAUCCAAAAAAAUUUCUUAGAUAUUGUGUUUUAUUUGAAAAACUAGUGUUUAAAAUUAUUCAAUGGCACUACAUAAUUAUAUUAGGAGAUCGCAUGAUAACGUAACAUUUGCAUAAUUUGAUUGCAAUCCCAAUUUUGUUCCUAAUGAUAUUUUACCCAAUGUGAUGAUAUUUUACCUGAUGUUGGUGCACAUUCAGGAAGCCAUGAAAACUAUAGUUCUUGUCGGAUGGAUUUCGUACGUGAUUGAAUUGCAAAUAGUUUAAUAAAACAAUAAAAAAUACUUUAUAUAAAGUAUUGUUUAUUUCAUGAUUUAAUAGCAGUAGUUAAAUCUAUAAUAUUUCAAUUAAAAACCAUCAAUAUUAAUAUAUGUUUUUUUUAAUUAUUUUAUAACCUUAAUUUGAAAAAUAUUCUUUAAACCAAACACAUUAAACUACUUUUUGUUCAACCUCAAUUUCAACCACAAUUUUAACCAAAUAUAUAUUUUUUCAAACCAACCUCAACUAAAAGUAAUUUUUAUAAAAACAACUUUUUCAAACUAUAACCACAACAGCUACCACAAUUCCAAAUACACACAAAGAAAACUGUACUGAUAAGCAAGUUAAAGUGCCACCAUUGAUUUAGGAUCUGCUUUAGAUCUUAUAAGGUGAAAGUAAAACACAAGGAAAUGCAUGCAUGCACACCACUAAUCUUUGAUUCUGGCGAGAACAGUGAUGACAACCAUAUAGAAUUACAUUCCAAGAUGAAGAAAUUAAUAACAGAGCAGUGCUAUAAAGCUAAAUGUGAGAACCAGAGAUUAAUAAGCAAUGCUGAAAAUUUUAUCAUGCAUAAGAUGAGAGAAGCAUAGGACAGAUUUUUCCCUCAAAUGAUUAACUAGAAUACGAGUUGCACUUCAAUUUUAAAGCUGAAAGAUGAAACAAUCAUACAAGCUCACACCUCUAUAACAGAGUGACAGUUCAUGGUGACCUCAAAGACUGCAUCAAGUCCUCCAAGCUCUCGUAACUUUUCCUUAAAGUCCCCCCCCAGUCUUCCUUGCCAUGCCAGAUGUAUCUGAAUGAAUGCAACCCAUACAGUGAAAUAAAUAAGCAAUCAGAAAAGGAGAGAGAGAGCUGUGUGAAUAAAGAAUUGUCACAAAACUAGAUGAUGGCGACCACAUAUCAAUAAUUCGAGACAUGACGUGGGGCACUUUCAUCGUGAUUAUUGUCUGUACAAUAAUGUUUGAUGCAUUAUUUCUUGUUAAGACUUUUUAGGUUGUGAAAAGUCCAAGAUGUAGCUUUUGAUUUUAUCAUUUAUAUUAAAUUGAAAUUUUGACAUAAAAUUCUAAAGAUUUUGUGGUUAAAAUUUCAAGAUCUUCGAAGAAAGACCUUUAAAUAAGGAUUUAAAGUUAUUAUGAGAUGGUCUUUAUUUACCUAUUUAGAUUUUUUUAUUUAUAUUAAAAAUUUUAAUUCAAUUAGUAUUUUACUAUUUAAAAAUUCUAAUAAUAGAUUGAUUAUAUUAAUAAUACAAAUUAUUUUUCUAUACAAAAUUUUAUUUCUAGAAUUAAUAUAAAUAAAAAUAUUUAGUUUAUUUUUUUGUUCAGGAUUCAUAUUAUUAUUUAGAUUUUUUAUAAAUAUUUAGAGAUUUUUUUUAUUUUGCUACUGUGUUAGGACUAUAACUUUAAGGUUUGGGUGUUUGGGAAAGUUAUAGCGGUUACGUUUUAAAGUGAUUUUUAUUUAAAAAUACAUCAAAAUAAUAUAUAUUUUUUAUUUUUAAAAUUAAUUUUUGACAUCAAAACAAUGCAAAAACACCAAAAAAUUAAUUUGAAAAAAAAUUAAAAUUUUUGAAAACCUUGAUUAAAAUGUUGUACCAAACACCCUCUUAGUUUUAUCUUAUUUUUAAAAAAAUAAUUCUUAACAUUAGCAAUCAAAACAAUCUAAAAACAAAAAAAUAAUUUUAAAAAAAUCAAAAUCUUUAAAAACUCCCGUCUAAAUGUUUCCUUUUAGUUUUAUCAUUGUUGCACUGCGUAAUGAUGCUCAAAAGGAAAUAGUUGAUAUAGCCGUACUUGGGGUAUUUAAGAAUGUGAUAGCGGUUACUUUUUAAAAUGUUUUUCGUUUAGAAAUGUAUCAAAAUAAUAUUUUUUUAUUUUUAAAAAAUUAUUUUUGAUAUCACCAUAUCAAAAUGAUAUGAAAACACUAAAAAAAUAUUAAUUUAAAGUAAAAAAAAUAAAAAAAAUUAAUCUUUUAUUAAAAUAUUUUUGAAAUACAGAAAUACUACGAGCUCUCAACCUGCUACAAAUAACUGCUGCAAUGGCCUUUCUUUAAUAUUUUACUUACACCAUUCUGCAAAAUAUUUUCUUUUGUACAUCCAUGGAACCCUCUUUGCCUUCUACACAAAUUCAAAGUCCAUGCUAAAAACUACAAAGAAAUGAUCUCUACCUUUCCAAAAGUUAAAGGCUUUUGGUACUUUCCGUCCUUCUUGGGAACACUCAUCUCAGUUCAAGCAAUCCACUGAUAUAUUUGUCGUCAGCUUCCAAAAACGAAGGAAAUCUUUGGUUAAGUUAAAACUCCUUUUCUCCUUCAACAGUGAAAUUCACGUGCCUUUCACACCUUUUUAAGUUCGAACAUUUCAUUUGUUCUUGUGCUCUAAAUUGAGUCUUUUUUGUGAGUUCUAUUAUUCUACUGUGUUUGGUUUAGCUUUUGUAGUUGAGGUUGUGGUAGGGUACAUGUACAAAACUCAACCACAAAAGCUAAUUUUUCUUGUUUUUUAUGGCUUUUUUAGUGGGUUCCACACUCAACCUCAACCUCCAUCUCAAAUACAAACACACACUAAAAGAUUAGAAAACGCAAGAUUGCAUCAAUGCUAAAAGCAAUUUCAAUCUCAAUGUGUGUGUCAAAUGCAUGGUGAUGUUUCAUGAUAUGUUUGUUUUGACGUUUCAAAAAUAUUUUUUUUAAACUGAAUUUUUUUAAUUUAUUUUUCGCUUCAAAUUAAUAUUUUUUGUUUUUUCAGAUUAUUUUGAUGUACUGUUGUUAAAAAUAAUUUUUUUUAAAUAAAAAAUAUUAUUUUAAUACAUUUCCGAGCAAAAAUCACUUUAAAAAAUAAUUGUUAUUACACUUCCAAACACAUCUUUAAAAGGACAAAGUUAUGGAGUUGAGGGCUCUAAAUAUUCCUCAAAAUAUCUGGCCUCAAAGCUAUUAUCGAGUCUUAAAGCUUUUGCUUUUUAUAUUGUUUUGAUGUAAAAAAUAAAUUUUAAAAAUAAAAAAAUAUUAUUUUAAUAUAUUUUUAAAUAAAAAAAUAUUUUAAAAAACAAUUACAGUAAAAUAACAAAUAAAAUAUUAAUAUGAAAUAAAAUCUAAUUCUACCAGCAGACAGCUGAUAAGAAUACUAAAAGAGUGUAAAUUUUGACUUAAUUCAAUAUUUCAAUUAUUAGAAUUUGGGGCAGCGUAACAGUGUCAAAGAAAAUGUCAGAAAAGUAAGGAAAACAGUACAAAUACCUUGGAUGAUGGUGACCAAAUAUUUGUAAUUUGAGACAUCUCGUUCUUGAAAAGAAUAGUUAAUAGUGCCAAUAAUAUUUUUUUUUAUUCACGUGACGGGUGAGCUUGUGUGUAUCUCGAUUAAUUCCCACGAAUCCUGAAAUUAAUGAUCAGGUAAGUUUCCAGUGGUCAUCAAUAUUAACAACCAUAUGGCUCGAACCUGAGACCACAAGGAGGAGCAAACCUCUUGAUCUCAAACUCUUACUAUUAGACUGCCUAUUAGAUGGUUAGUGCUAAUAAUUAAUCUGCUCUUGACUUGCUACAAAUAGCUGUCAUGAUCACAUAUUCAAAAAACACUAGUUUAUAAAUUCUAAGGGUAUCUCAACUAGUUAGACUUUAAGUAUGUUUUCCAAUAAUUAUGAGUUCGAGUCCUUUUAAGAUAAUUGAAGGUUUACACGGCGUUAACUUCAGGACCCAUAAAAUUAAUCGAGAUAUAUACAAGUUGAUUCAGAUAACCAUAUUAAUUUAAAAAAACAAACACUAGUCUAGAAAAGCAAUAUACAAGGUGAUUUUUUAGUUGACUAGUUGAAUCUGAUUUUUAUAAAAAGUAAUAUUUUAGAAGAUAAUUUUUAAUAAUUUUAGAUUUUUUAAUAUAUAAAUAUCAAAAAUAAAUUUUAAAAAAUAAAAAAAUAUUAUUUUAAUAUAAUUUUAAAUAAAAAAACAUUUGAAAAAACAAUUAAUAGUAUACUCUCAACUACCCCAAAAUAUAGGAUUAAAUUGGAUUGCGGGUUCCCCACCAUUUAAAGCUUGCAAAGAAGGAUUUGAAACACAAUCACCCUAAAGAUUUGCAAAUGGAAUAUAAUAUAAAAUAAUACCCAAUUGCAUCAGCGGACAUGUAAUCAAUAAUAUUAAAAUACGGUAAAUUUUGAUUUAAUUCAAUUAUUGGAUUCUAGGCAGCGUGACAAUGUCAGAAAAUCUUGGAUGAUGGUGACCAAACAUAUCAGUAAUUUGAGACAACACGUUCCCGAAAGGUAAUAGUUGAUGGUGCCAAAAUUUAAACCAGCUCUCAACUCGCUACAAAUAGCUGCCAUGGCCUUUCAUUCUACCAUAUAUUUAUUUUUUAACUUUCAUGGAAUCCUCUUUGCCUUCCUCCCAAAUCUUGGAUUCUGAUGGAAGUGCUGAGAGGAAAAAUGAAGCUACAAAUUGCAAUGAAGUGAUGUCCACCCUUCCAAAAGUCAAAGGCUUGAGGGGGGAUGAUUAUUACCUGUACCAAGGCUUUUGGUACGAUGCCUUCUUCUUGGAAGGACUCAUGUCUGUUCAAGAGCACUUCAAUCCUCAAUCCACUGAUAUAUUUGUCGCCAGUUUUCCAAAAACUGGCACAACUUGGCUUAAGGCCCUCACUUUUGCUAUUUUUACACGAUCCCGUUUAAGUGGUUCAACAACUAGUUCUUUACUUACCAAGAUGCCACAUGACUGUGUUCCUUUGUUGGAAAAUGACCUUGCUAAAAACCCCAGUAAUCGGGACUUGGCAAUUCCUCUGCUAUCUACUCAUGUUCCUUACAGUUGUUUACCUAAAUCUAUCAUUUCUUCUAGUUGCAAGAUUAUUUACAUUUGCAGGGACGCAAAGGAUGCUUUUGUUUCUUUGUGGUACUUUCAUGCCACGCUGCAAAGGUCGAAAAAUGUUGAGCAUCUUCCUCUGGAAGAGGCUUUUGAGCUGUUCUGCAAUGGAAUUGCAAAUUUUGGACCAUACUGGA